GUGGCAGGCUAGUGAAUGGAGCCGUAUACAGGGGAGCUCAGGUUGGACAGUAUCCCUGGACGGGGUGGACUGUCCGUCAGUGCGAGGGGAAGGCACGCAUGAACCGCUAGCGGCGGGCGGGCGGUUGGAGCCCGCGGUGGCGGCUGGGGAGGAUAAAAGGAGAGAGCUGCGUAACGGCGCGAGUCUGUCCCAGAGCUGGUGCUGGAGAGGCCGAUCUGACGGAGAAAGGCUACGGCGGUGACCUCCGGUUCAGAUUGUGUACAAGACGCGGGGAAAACAGACCUACAGCUGAUAGACGCUGGGAAGCCCUGGUGACGUCGGCAAGAGGCGGGGAUCGAUCCGCCCCAGGAGGCGGGAGGAGGAGGUGCCGGAGCCUCUUAACAAGGUGCGGGGAGCGGCCUACUUGUGAUUGACAGCAGCAUAGGAGGAUAUCUGACGGAGCAAGUAGGAUGGGGUAUGGAUCGUUGGGUCGGCCCUAAUUAGGUCGACAUCAUAUCGUCAACAUGGCAUAGGUCAACUGGGUCAUUCGAUCAACGUGGAAAAGGUAGACAGAAAAGAAGAAAGAGAAAGAGGAGUCCAGUGAAGUGAAGAAAAGAAGAGCAAGAAGAAGGGGGGGAGGGAGUAGGGGCCCAUAUGGAUGUUAAAUUGUUAAAGAGUUGAAAAAUAAAUGGAAAAACCCCCAACACAAAACCUUGUA